rnacentral:rRNA from 1 species
AACGAACGCUGGCGGCAGGCCUAACACAUGCAAGUCGAGCGCCCUUUCGGGGGAGCGGCGGACGGGUGAGUAACGCGUGGGAAUAUGCCCUUCUCUACGGAAUAGCCUCGGGAAACUGAGAGUAAUACCGUAUACGCCCUGUGGGGGAAAGAUUUAUCGGGGAAGGAUUAGCCCGCGUUGGAUUAGGUAGUUGGUGGGGUAAUGGCCUACCAAGCCGACGAUCCAUAGCUGGUUUGAGAGGAUGAUCAGCCACACUGGGACUGAGACACGGCCCAGACUCCUACGGGGGGCAGCAGUGGGGAAUCUUAGACAAUGGGGGCAACCCUGAUCUAGCCAUGCCGCGUGAGUGAUGAAGGCCUUAGGGUUGUAAAGCUCUUUCAGCUGGGAAGAUAAUGACGGUACCAGCAGAAGAAGCCCCGGCUAACUCCGUG